rnacentral:rRNA from 3 species
UUCGCAAUGCCCGAAAGGGUGACGAAGCGACGCCGCGUGGGUGAGGAAGGCCUUCGGGUUGUAAAGCCCUGUCAGGAGUUAAGAAAUGUAAGUGCGCUAAUAUCGCAUUUAUUUGACGAAGGCUCCAAAGGAAGUCACGGCUAACUCUGUGCCAGCAGCCGCGGUAAUACAGAGGUGGCAAGCGUUGUUCGGAAUUAUUGGGCGUAAAGAGCACGUAGGUGGGUUUGUAAGUCAGAUGUGAAAGCCUUCUGUUCAACGGAAGAAUUGCAUCUGAAACUGCGAGUCUUGAGUGUAGGAGGGGAGAAUGGAACUUCUGGUGGAGCGGUGAAAUGCGUAGAUAUCAGAAGGAACGCCGGCGGCGAAAGCGAUUCUCUGGCCUAUUACUGACACUCAGUGUGCGAAAGCUAGGGGAGCAAACGGGAUUAGAUACCCCGGUAGUCCUAGCCGUAAACGAUGGGCACUAAGUAGAGGGGUUUU